rnacentral:lncRNA from 10 species
CUCUGAAGGAGCUGAUAGCUUUAGAUUGUUUGCUAACUGCACUACCUGAAGUUGUACAGGAAGUCUUUCCUUGAAGACUGAGAGAUGCUUCUCCAAGAUAUUCUCUGAAACAUCCUGUGCAGAGGUUCACUUUUUUCUUUUGAGUAUAUGCCUGCCUAAGAAGACAGGCACAAUCAAAAGAAAAAACAAAACAAAACAAGAAACUGAACCCUUAAGCAUUCAAAAUUCAAGCCUAUUUUAGAGUUUUUGACUGGAUUUGCUUCCGUUUUUUAAAAGUAAUUAUUCUGUCUUGAUGAGACUGGACUUUCGUAAACUGAGCAACAUGUGAUAAAACAAUAUUAUGAUUUUAUUAGAUAAAGGAUGUUAUGUCAAGAGAACUCCUAAGAUCUUGUUUGCAUCUGUGAAAUUCUGAACAAUUGAUAAGAUAAUAUUUCCAGAAGACAUCAAUGACAAUUUAAUUUUGGGCUGGGGCAUCAGCUUCUUCCUGCCUUCCAACUCCAACUGUGGCAUCAGCUCUUCUUGAAUCUCAAGACUGCCAGCCUUCAAACUGAAACUAUACAUUGACUCUCUUGGUUCUCAGGCCUUUGGACUCAGACUGGAACUGUAACUUGGCUUUCCUGGGUCUGCAGUUGAGCUUGCCAACCCAACCUAAAGCCUGAGAGCUUAUAAAUUCUGAAGGCCUCAUCACAG